UACGUAGGGUGCGAGCGUUAAUCGGAAUUACUGGGCGUAAAGCGUGCGCAGGCGGUGAUGUAAGGCAGUUGUGAAAUCCCCGGGCUCAACCUGGGAACUGCAUUUGUGACUGCAUCGCUGGAGUACGGCAGAGGGGGAUGGAAUUCCGCGUGUAGCAGUGAAAUGCGUAGAUAUGCGGAGGAACACCGAUGGCGAAGGCAAUCCCCUGGGCCUGUACUGACGCUCAUGCACGAAAGCGUGGGGAGCAAACAGG
rnacentral:rRNA from 1 species